rnacentral:misc_RNA from 1 species
CGGCGUCGUGCAAGAGAGCGGUCUUAUUUGCCAAUAACGGUGUUUCUUCCUCGUUCGUUGCCAAAGCUGUUGCAGAAACAUCGCGGGAAAUUGCACGCUUUCGUGAAGAAUUGAGAACAGCCUCGUUUUUUUUUUGUUGUUGUCUACUUACUCCGGCGAAUGUACGAUAUCGCAAAUAAGAGCCCGGUGAAACUUGACGACUCAGUGUAGUCGGCGAGACUCCCGUAUCGUCCUCUCGACUUGGAAGUGGAGCUCUGACAAAGACCGAGUGGAUCACGGCGGCCAUUCCGCGGGCCUUUAGUACAACAGCGUCGAAACUCGUCAAAACGCUUGCGAAGCAACUUGCGGACGUGUAAGGAGUCUUCACAUACAAGAUUCGCAACCUGAGGAACGCACGCUGGAAAUUGUGGACAGGUUCUUGAAGAAAAAUAAGUAAGAAGAAAGAAUUAUCCAAAGAGGCAAGCUCAGCAUACGAAAACUGAGAUGUGGCUGCUAUCAUUCUGUGUGCUCGCGAUCCCUGGCCUCGUCCUCAGCGCCGGACUCCCAGGUGGCUUUUACCGAAGACGAGUGGACGCCGAUCCCAUCUACGAGCAGAUGGCACACUUCGCUAUAGCAGAGCACACAGCUAACCGCGAGUACUUUGAUACGGUGCUGGACCUCUUUCAAGUGGACGUUCAGAGUGCGGCUGGCUUCAACUACAGGCUGAAGUUUACUACGGCGGAAUCAACAUGCCGAGGAGUGGAUACAUACAGUCCGGUCACCUGCCGGCCUAAGGUUAAGGAGGUGAAAGAAAUCUGCACGGCAUUUGUCUUCUUUGUCCCAUGGGUUGGAUAUCGCCAUGUCACUUCAAUGCACUGUCAACCACCUGACAGGCGAUUUCGUUGGUAAUAAACAAGCUCAUUUUCAAUAUCUCAUUUGAGAUUGCAAAGGACCGUGCGCAGACAAAGCGCCAGUCUCAAAUUAGAAAAAACAGCUCACUGAUAUAUGGGUGGUUCCAAAGUGAUCAGACUCGUCAUUGGUUCUUCGCGAUGGUGAGACUUUUUCUUACUUUUGUUAACUGUUUCUGCUGUAUGUUGCAUUGACAACACUCAUGAAGGAUAUGUUUCCGUAGGCUUGUACCCCUGUGCUUUGACAUAGAUGCCUACUGCGCUGUUUGCAGAAAUCAUAUGUAGAAAUCAUAUGUACAUAUUCUGUGUUUUCGAAGCAAUAAAGCUUAUAUGAUGCUGUGUGUA